GGACAACUGAAAACACAGUAAAAUUAGUGCUGUGACUCAAUGACAAAUGCUGGUUUCAUAAUUAGGGUGGGGCACACAAGCAACUAUAAAGGUUGCCCCAGUCCAAGACUGACACUUCUGCUGGAUACAUCUGAAAGCUCUGGAUUUUGAGUCAGUUCUUCUUCAAGAAAACAUCUGAGAAACAUGGAACAUUUACUGAAUGACAACCUUCUGAAGUACUUUACCGAGUAUGCCCUAAAGGAGGGUAAUACCACUGCACUGUCCAUUGCUGGGCUGAAAAGUCUCCUUCAGAACCAAUUUGCACAGUACCUGAAGGAUUCAUUCUCACUUGAUAAUGUAGUUAAAUUGUUGGACAAAGAUAAGGACGGAAAAGUCAGCUUUGAUGAGUUUGUGACAAUUAUCAAAAAGAUAACCGGUACAGAAGCAUAAGGCAUCUGCAAGAAUCAGUAUCACUGCUUUGAAGAAGAGGAGCCCGGAGUUUGCAAAUAUCAUACAUUCACCUAAACCCACAGAUUUGUUUUGAUUUUAAAAUGUACAGAAUAAAGAUCUGACAUAUAACUAA